AGACUACUCGGAGUUGCCCUACACUGGCUGCACACUUUUUUUUUUACGGCGCAAAACAUGCACCUUUUUAGGGGCAUUUGAAAAGCGGACUUUUAUUCAAGCGAGCUUUUAUUUUUUCUUCUUUUGGAUACUGACUUCAGUGAGGAGGGGUGACGGUAGUAGUCCUGAUGGCGUGCAAGACAACGCCAAAGACAUCAGAUGUAAAGUUGGCUUCUGAAGCCAGAUGGCUGGCAGCCAUAAUGAGGAGCUCGUCCGUCAGCCUGCAGAUGGAAACAUGGGUGGGUGGUUGCAAGGCUGGAUGAAUCCGCGUAGAUGACUGAACUCCAAGACCCCGGUGCAGCUCAUCAUCAUUGCCAUGGGCUCUUCCUUGUCUCCUUCUGUGGUCCGCAUCUCCAUCCAGGGGUCCAGCUCAAGCCCAUGAAGCCUGAGCGGGAAGCUUGUGAGUGGGCAGAGAAGGAUGGAGAAGGUCCCUGAAGGCUAAAAGCACCUCAGCGGGAGAAAUCAAUACCAAGCAUGCUCGCUUCCAAGUAGGCUUUCCUCUGCUUCUUUGUGGCCUCGGGGGCCUGCGGGCCUCCAAAGGACGGGCCCUUUGCGGCCCCUCUAAGCUGGACCGGACCCCGUCUUCACUUGGCUGUGUGUGGUUUUGCUAAGGGGGAUUUCUCUCCUCACCCAAAUGGUUCCGAUACACUGCCGAAGCGCUGGCAAGAGGGAGCCUGUUUUUUUCUUCAUCUUUUUCCCUUGCACAAGACUGACAUAUCCCCCACUUUAAUUCAAAACCAAUAUGGGGCUUUUGACAUCUUUCCAUCCCCAGCUGUUUAUUUCUGCAACCAUUUGACAAAAAGACAGAGAAGGCAUAUCUUCCUCUCAAUCGAGUGAAUGUGAUACCGGAAAAGAACAGGCAUUCCUAGUUAUGGUUGUGGACCCAUUACAUUGUUAUCCUGCUAUUUAGAAUAGAGAUGACUAAUACGUAUGUAUUGUGUGUAUAUUUGGAAAUACACUGCAAAUAAUACAGGUGUGCCUAACUGUGUCAACUUGAUAUUUUUCUAAUGAAAUGUGAGUAUUAUUUUCAUUUAACUUUAGGUUGAAGAAUUGACUUCAUUGAUUUUCCAUUAAAACAUGUAUCUUGUA